rnacentral:misc_RNA from 1 species
UUAAACAAUGAGCAUAUAAACAAUAUACAGUUUGUUUGCAGUGGACAACUCACAACAGUUUGAACCAAACGACUUUCACAUUUUUUCUCACAACAACUUUUUCACAACAGACAACUCACAACAGUUCUUUUUCAUAGCUCACACCUGACCAAACACACCCUAAGCCUACUACUCAAUCUACCUAUCUUGUUGCUAUUUUUUUUAAAGCAGCUCUUACGAAAGGGAGGUUUCUACAUAUGAGUUUUCGCUCAAAAGUUUGUUGUUUGAUGUCAACUUGAAACUCUCGGCCUUUAGCUGUCACCAAAUACUUAUCUGGUCCUGCUAGGGUUAGAAGGUUGCACUUGUGCUUCAAUGAACCUAUGACUUCGUGAUGAGUUUGAGCCCCUUUGUGCUCACUUGCUCGCUCGUCAUCACUACAACUCUCUCAUGGAUGUUCUUGCUAGUAUUUAGAAUGAGGACUCAUUUGUGUGUUGUUGGUCUAUUGCAGUCUUCAUCGAUCUUGGUUGUUCGUUCUUCAUCCUCUCAACCGCCUACUACUCCACCGAUGAUGUUGUCUUCAGUUUUGUCGCCUCCUGUGCGUGGGGGCAAGGUGGUCUCCAUUGUGCUUGAUGUGAUCGUGAUGGGCCGUUCUUCAUUGGGUACUGGCGGUGCUGGUACUAGAGGAUCCCAAUGGAGUUUGGCUAUGACUACGGAAGCCCAAUUGCUCAUGCUACUUCAUCGCGUUGCAGCCUCUACACCUACAGGAGCUGCUGGUUUUGUGACUUAGGGUCUGUUUGGUUUAUGGCUAACUAUGCCACACUUUGCCUAAGGUUAGUCGUUCGAAUUGAAGAACUAACCUUAGGCAGAAAAGUUAGGCAUAGUGUGGCAAGUUAGACAGCGAACCAAACAGGCCCUUAG